UUACAAAGUCUUGCUCUUUCUAUGAUGGAGUCCCCUAACUCAUUUCUUGCAACAAAACCAAAAAAGCUGCGCUUCAUCUUCUCCUCUUUCUACUUCCUUCUUCCCCUUUUCUCCAUCCUCAUUUUCACCAAACUGCGCUUCAUCUUCAUCUUUCCAUUUUUCACCAAACUGCGCUUCAUCUUCACCGUUUGGGGUCUAAAUAAUCCACAUCUGCUGAUUCAAUGAUCUGUAGCGGCAUCAACGGGUUACCGACGAUUAGUGUGGUGGUGGUGGAAAUGGGUUUCCACACAGACAGCGGUAAGCGGGUUGCAUAUGAUUGGAGUGUCGUGUUCAUAUCUCAGGGUAAAUUUCUUUAUUUGCUGUUAAAUUUGAUAUGAGAAAGAGUUCUUUCUAUGGCUUAUUUUGCAUUCAACUUCUAUUCGUAGUAUUAGGAGGACUCAUGGCUGAAAGUGCAAAGAAAUUGCAGGUAUUUUCCUAAUAAAAAGAAUGGUUAAUCUAUCAUAUAAGGAGUAACAAACGCAGCUCGAUCAUUGAUAGGGCUACAGGAUCAACGAAUUUGACUGACACGAAACCAUAUCUUAUGAAGCUUAGCGAAGAUCAAAUGGGCCAACUUCUCUCUGCCUUUUGGAUUUAGGCCAACCGAAUGUUGAAGCUAUAGCUCAUUCAUUUAUAUUGACACUAAUUGUUUUGCGCAUGAAGAUAGAGUUAUAAGGUUUAAGGCUUGCUAUGGAUUGUAGGCUUGCAGCAGAGUUUGAUGGUUUAUUGUGGGGGUGAGUUGGUGAAGGUAUUAUGUUAUCCUGUUUCUUCUUUCUGCUUAGCAGUUUCUCUAUUAAGUGUAACUUUUGGUGUUUUUUUUUUUUGUGAUGCCUUGGUUGGAUUUGUAGAGCAAGGGUUUAUGUCAGGUUUCAUGUAAUUGCAAUUUAGACCUUCUUCAAGGUAUUAAAUACAUGACACUACAAUAUCAUCUUUAUUUAUCUUUCUUCCAUAUUAGGAAGAGAGAUGGAGAUUGUUGUCAACCUUAGCAAAUCAGGUGUAUAAUUACUACGCAUAAAGUGAUUCUCAUGAAUUCACUGGAUGGUACUGUCGGUCGGUACAUGUCACAGUUAUGCAAUUGGCUCAGGAAAUAAAAGUCUGGUAAGGAUUCUUCCUUUUUUGCUGUAUAAUUGUAAAGUUUUUCGAUCGAGGUAAUUAUUGUAUAGAAUUGCUUACCGUGUUUCUGUUUUUGAAUAGAUGAUCUUCACUUUGAAUUUCGGGCACUGGAGUUGGCUCUGUAAUUGACAUGAAUAUCUUUAGAUACACAUGUAUUAACUGACCAAAACUGUACUAUUUUGGGGUAAUUGUAUGUUUUUAUAUUUCAGAAUUCUGGUUUCACUGCUUCAAGGUAUUGAAUCUAACUCCAUUGCUAUUCCACAUUCAACAACCAAUUAUAACAACAGCAGGAUGCAAAACAGAUCCAAAAUGGAAGUUAUAAUAUAAGCUAAACAGGUUAUUUUUCUCCAUAUUGGGUUCAACACAUGCCGAUGUACUUCAUAACUUAAUAAACUCCAUUCCAAGUUGAAUGAGGUUUUGGUUCCUAAUCCAUUCAAUAGGCUUCGUGCUGUGUUUCUGUUGGAAGUGAAUGGAAUCAAAGGUUUCUGUCCUAGAUGUUGACAUUUAAUAUGAUGGUUUCUUUUUCAAUAGCAUUUUGUUGUUGACAUUUGAAAGGAGUUCGUAGUUGCUAUGAUGAGGGGAAACAUGUGGCUGAGGCUUUGAUGUUUGAUUAUCAGAGACAACAAGGAAUAAGUGAUUCCCGGUCUUCCGUUCCUCUUAAUUUCCUCUCAUUCUCUGUUAGGUGUAGCCUGUCUCAUGGCUGAAAUUAUGACAUAUAAGAUGAGAUUAAUAUGUAUGAUUACAAUGUAAAAUCACAAAUCCUAACUUAAAGAGCUCAAUCUUUCAUUAGUUAGUUUUAAUCAUUGUAGAGUAUUAAACGAGGGAUACUUCUUGACUACCGCAGUGCUUUAUCAUGGGAUGAAAUAUGAACAUUAUUUCAUUCUUUAUCAUUUCAAUGAACAAGGGAUACUUCUUGACUACCGGAGUGCUUUACUUUCGACUUGCUUUUCUGUUCUUCCACAUUAGUUGAAAGAUAAUAAUUGGAGAUUCCAGGCUCAUGAUAUAUUUUUAGUAUAUUUCUGUCUUGCUUCUGUUCUAAGUCAAGAUAGGCAGGGGUAGAUGUAAACUUCUGCGAAGUGUCUUUUUAGCUUGCAAAGUGUCUUUUUAGCUUGCUGUUUUUCUAGCAUCCGUAUGUCAUAUUCUGCUGGGAG